rnacentral:rRNA from 1 species
GACGAACGCUGGCGGCGUGCUUAACACAUGCAAGUCGAACGGAAAGGCCCUGCUUUUGUGGGGUGCUCGAGUGGCGAACGGAUGAGUAACACGUGAGUAACCUGCCCUUGACUUUGGGAUAACUUCAGGAAACUGGGGCUAAUACCGGAUAGGAGCUCCUGAUGCAUGGUGGGGGUUGGAAAGUUUCGGCGGUGGGGGAUGGACUCGCGGCUUAUCAGCUUGUUGGUGGGGUAGUGGCUUACCAAGGCUUUGACGGGUAGCCGGCCUGAGAGGGUGACCGGCCACAUUGGGACUGAGAUACGGCCCAGACUCCUACGGGAGGCAGCAGUGGGGAAUAUUGCACAAUGGGCGGAAGCCUGAUGCAGCAACGCCGCGUGCGGGAUGACGGCCUUCGGGUUGUAAACCGCUUUCGCCUGUGACGAAGCGUGAGUGACGGUAAUGGGUAAAGAAGCACCGGCUAACUACGUG